rnacentral:rRNA from 1 species
AUACGGAGGAUGCAAGCGUUAUCCGGAUUCAUUGGGUUUAAAGGGUGCGCAGGCGGGCUUGUAAGUCAGUGGUGAAAAACUGCCGCUUAACGGUAGUCUUGCCAAUGAUACUGCAUUUCUUGAGUAUGGAUGCGGUAGGCGGAAUGUGCAGUGUAGCGGUGAAAUGCAUAGAGAUUGCACAGAAGGCCGAUUGCGGAGGCAGCUUACUAAACCAUAACUGACGCUGAGGCACGAAAGCGUGGGGAGCGAACAGGAUUAGAUACCCUGGUAGUCCACGCUGUAAACUAUGUUCACUCGCUGUUUGCGAUAUACUGUAAGCGGCUUAGUGAAAGCAUUAAGUGAACCACCUGGGGAGUACGAUCGCAAGGUUGAA